rnacentral:misc_RNA from 1 species
GAAAUGCGAUAAGUAAUGUGAAUUGCAGAAUUCCGUGAAUCAUCGAAUCUUUGAACGCACAUUGCGCCCUCUGGUAUUCCGGGGGGCAUGUCUGUCCGAGCGUCAUUGCGAACCCCUCAAGCACGGCUUGUGUGAUGGGCCCUCCCGCGUCUUGGUCGUCAAGACGGGCCCGAAAUGCAGUGGCGGCUUCGCGGUUAUCCGAUCAGCCAGAGCGUAUGGGGACUUUCUCUCUGUCACACGCCCGCGGCGCGGACCGACGCCUGUCGACCUUUAUUCAUCUUUUUCUCGGUUGACCUCGGAUCAGGUAGGGAUACCCGCUGAACUUAAGC